CCUACGGGAGGCAGCAGUAAGGAAUAUUGGUCAAUGGAGGCAACUCUGAACCAGCCAUGCCGCGUGCAGGAAGACGGCCCUAUGGGUUGUAAACUGCUUUUGAACUAGAGAAAACCUUGGUACGUGUACCGAGUUGAUAGUAUAGUUAGAAUAAGCAUCGGCUAACUUCGUGCCAGCAGCCGCGGUAAGACGAAGGAUGCAAGCGUUAUCCGGAUUCAUUGGGUUUAAAGGGUGCGUAGGCGGACUGAUAAGUCAGUGGUGAAAUCUCUCAGCUUAACUGAGAAACUGCCAUUGAUACUGUUAGUCUAGAGUACAGAUGAUGUGGGCGGAAUAUGAACAUGUAGUGGUGAAAUACUUAGAUAUGUCAUAGAACACCGAUUGCGAAGGCAGCUCACAAAACUGUAACUGACGCUGAGGCACGAAAGUGCGGGGAUCAAACAGGAUUAGAUACCCUGGUAGUCCGCACCGUAAACGAUGAUUACUCGUUGUUGGCGAUAUGACAGUCAGCGACCAAGCGAAAGCGANAAGAAUCCACCCUGGGAGUACGCCGGCACGGUGAAACUCAAAGGAAUUGACGGCUUGGAGGACGNGCGAGGCGACGACGAGGGAGAGG
rnacentral:rRNA from 1 species